rnacentral:tRNA from 3 species
GCUCCCAUAGCUCAGUCGGUAGAGCGCAUCCAUGGUAAGGAUGAGGUCACCAGUUCGAGCCUGGUUGGGAGCU